AGUCAGUUGUAAGUGAAUUUUUAUCUAAAUUUUUAACUGAAUGUUUAACACUAGUUGUAACUGAAUUUUAACUACAAAGUUAUUUUUAACUUAACUGUAACAUAUGUACAUGUAUUAUUAAACACUAGUUUUAUCUGAAUUUUAACAGCACUGUUAAAUGAACUAGGUUGGAUGAUGAAGAAUGGGAAGUGAGGUUCCAUUUCUUGGACAGAGAUAAUUUGGAAAGAACCAUUUGUUUAGCAGACAUAACCUACUGGAAUCUGAUUGCACUAAUAGAGUUAGAAGGCUUUAGUUCAACAAAUUUUAUGUAUUAUGUCAGAGAUCCGGGAGUUGGGGUGUCAGGAAUGGAAGAAUUAACUGAUGAUGACAAGGUGGAAGAAAUGUUGGAUGACAUAACUAGUAAAGGAAAUAAUGUGGUUAACAUUACAGUUAUGAGAAGUGAUGCACCCACACCAGCUGACCUGAACAUUGGUCAUGUUUAUGAAGAACAGGUCCCUUUGUCUGAAUUAGGUGUACCACUUGUCUAUGAGGUAGAUAUUUUAGGAGUUCUUUUCCCAGUCCAGUGAAGCCCCAACCAUAGCCAGUCCAGGUCAUGAACACCCAGAAGAGUUCAUGUUUGUUGAAGCUAAAGGGUCCAAGUGAACCAGAGUUUGCACUGCACUAUGGUAAUGAGAGGCAUGAAUAUUUCAUGGAGACAGACCAAGAGCAAGAGAAGAUUGAGCAGAUGAUGGAGCAGAAGAAGAAUGAAGAGAUUCGGAAGUUCAGGACCAAUAAGAAACAAAAAGAGAAGUACAAGGCAGCAAAAAUAAAACUCCCAGAGCUGCUUGCUGAAGAGUUCACUGACAGUGAUAGUGAGAAUGAGCUUUUAGCAUAUGAUGACAUUAAUAGCUAGGCUGGAGGCAAUGAAGAGGCAUAGAGCUGAUCCUCUCAAUCACUUUGAAGAAGACACUGAUGUAGAAGAGCUUUAUGAACCAGAUGAGUAUGAGGGGGAGGAUGAAGCAGGAGAGGAGGAGGCAGGACAGGAGGAGCAAGCAGAGGAGGGUAGGAGAGGAGGAAGCAACAUCACAUGAGGAAGUCAGAGGAAGGGGCCAACAACCAGAUCACAUGGAAGUCUUGAUCAAAUCAUAGAGAAAUAUUGGAUACCUUCAUUUGAUGAGGAGAGCAACCCAGGUGACUUAAGUCAGGAUGAUAAUGAUGGUGCUCAGCUUCCAACAUUUAGGCAACCCAAUGGUAGGAAGAGCAGGGCUUGAAAGCAGAAGCCUAGGGUUUGGUAUGAUGAGAACAGGGAGAACCCACAAGAUCAAUUUGUGAAGAAACUUUGUUUCAUAGAUGUCCGACAAUUCAGGAGGGCACUUCUUACAUUUCACAUCUCACAAAACAUGAACUACUCUUUUCAUAGAAACUGCUCAAAAUAGAGUUAUUGCAGUUUGCAGUACAGAAGAUUGUCCUUUUUUCAUUGCUGCUUCUCAAAUUGCACAUGAGUGAAAAUUUUGCAUAAAGAAGAUGAAGUUGUACCACAAUUGUGCUGCUGUAGGAGAGAGCACCAAAGUGACUGCGAGGUGGUUGGCACAUGAGUGUGAGGAACAGUCAAGGGCAGACAUAAACAGACCAGUCCAGACAAUAAUAGCCAAUUUGAAGAAUAAACAUGGAAUAGAAGUGUCCAUUCACAUGGCCUACAGAGGAAGAAAAGCAGCUAAGAGUGUUGUCCAAGGAGAUCAGAGGGCACAAUACACAAGGAUAAGGUAUUACCUCCAAGCUAUGUUGGAUACCAAUCCAGGAAGUAGAUGCAUUGUUACAACAAAGCAUUUGAAGGCCCGUCCUAGCAUUAAUCCUAGAUUCCAUGGCUUGUUCAUGUGACUGAAUGCUUGCAAAGAGGGUUUCCUAAAUGGUUGCAGACUAUUCAUAGGUGUUGAUGGCUGCUUCAUUAAGUUGACCACAGGGCAACAAAUAUUGGCUGCAACUGAUAGAGAUGGUAAUAACAACAUCUUUCCCAUUGCAUUUGCAAUUGUUGACAAGGAAGACACUUCCAGCUGGUCAUGGUUUCUCAAUGCUCAACUUCUCCUUCUCUUUAAUCAACUCAGCAAUGUAGCAAUCCAGCUUCUCCUUCUCUUUCUUCAGAUUAUCCAGGGAAUCCAAGAGGUUGUUCACAUCUUCAACAAGCUUCUCGUAAGUAUUCUGCAACUCAUUUUUCUAUUGUGUUAGAUUGUGCACAUCAUAACAAUGUUCCAGGCAUGCCAUCCUAUUGGCAUGGUUGCUAUCCUCAUACAUAAGCCACAAUUUGUGGAGGGCAUUCUGCAGGUGAUCUGGCCACUCCUCAUCUACCCACUACAUUACUCCACAAUUAUUAACUCCCUGCAAUACAAAAAAAAUAGUUCAAACAUGUUGUCAUAGGUUCCAUAUUCAGUUAAGUUAAAGUUACAGUUAAGUUGUAGAUUCAGUUAGAUCAUUCAACUGACAAAACUAAACAACAAUUAUUGUGAGCAUGUUCAUCCCUAACAUGAACAGUGACUAUGAACAAAAAACAUU